rnacentral:rRNA from 1 species
GAUCGCCUACGGGGGGCAGCAGUGGGGGAUAUUGCACAAUGGGGGAAACCCUGAUGCAGCGAUGCCGCGUGAGUGAAGACGGCCUUCGGGUUGUAAAGCUCUGUCGCAGAGGACGAAAAUGACGGUACUCUGCAAGAAAGCUCCGGCUAACUACGUGCCAGCAGCCGCGGUAAUACGUAGGGAGCAAGCGUUGUCCGGAAUUACUGGGUGUAAAGGGAGCGUAGGCGGGGGGAUAAGUUGAAUGUGAAAUCUAUGGGCUCAACCCAGAG